AGAGUUUGAUCCUGGCUCAGGACGAACGCUGGCGGCAUGCCUAACCCAUGCAAGUCGAGCGGAGGGAGCCCUUCGGGGUGAACUAAGCGGCGGACGGGUGAGUAACGCGUGAACAACCAACCUUACACAGGGGGACAACAGCUGGAAACGGCUGCUAAUACCGCAUAAGACCACAGCGUCACAUGGCACAGGGGUCAAAGGAGAAAUCCGGUGUAAGACGGGUUCGCGUCCCAUUAGAUAGUUGGUGGGGUAACGGCCCACCAAGUCGACGAUGGGUAGCCGAGCUGAGAGGCUGAACGGCCACACUGGAACUGAGAAACGGUCCAGACUCCUACGGGAGGCAGCAGGGGGGAAUAUUGGGCAAUGGGGGAAACCCUGACCCAGCAAUGCCGCGUGAAGGAAGAAGGCCUUCGGGUUGUAAACUUCUGUGAUGGGGGACGAAGAAAGUGACGGUACCCCGUAAGAAAGCUCCGGCAAACUACGUGCCAGCAGCCGCGGUAAUACGUAGGGAGCAAGCGUUGUCCGGAAUUACUGGGCGUAAAGGGCGCGUAGGCGGCGGCACAAGUCUCAUGUGAAAGCCCCGGGCUUAACCCGGGAAGAGCAUGGGAAACUGUGUGGCUUGAGUGAGGUAGAGGAUCGUGGAAUUCCUAGUGUAGCGGUAAAAUGCAUAGAUAUUAGGAGGAACACCGGUGGCGAAGGCGACGAUCUGGGCCUUAACUGACGCUGAGGCGCGAAAGCGUGGGUAGCAAACAGGAUUAGAUACCCUGGUAGUCCACGCUGUAAACGAUGUAUGCUAGGUGUAGGGGGUAUCGACCCCCUCUGUGCCGCAGUAAACGCAAUAAGCAUACCGCCUGGGGAGUACGGCCGCAAGGUUGAAACUCAAAGGAAUUGACGGGUCCCGCACAAGCAGCGGAGCAUGUUGUUUAAUUCGACGCAACGCGAAAAACCUUACCAGGGCUUGACAUCCAACGAAUUCCCGUGAAAGCGGGGAGUGCUCCUUCGGGAGAGCGUUGAGACAGGUGGUGCAUGGUUGUCGUCAGCUCGUGUCGUGAGAUGUUGGGUUAAGUCCCACAACGAGCGCAACCCUUAUGGUUAGUUGCCAGCACGUAGUGGUGGGGACUCUAACAAGACCGCCGGGGAUAACCCGGAGGAAGGUGGGGACGACGUCAAAUCAUCAUGCUCCUUAUGUCCUGGGCUACAAACGUGCUACAAUGGCCGUAACAAAGAGAAGCGAGUCUGCAAAGGCAAGCGGAACUCUAAAAGCGGUCUCAGUUCGGAUUGUGGGCUGCAACCCGCCCACAUGAAGUUGGAGUUGCUAGUAAUCGCGAAUCAGCAUGUCGCGGUGAAUGCGUUCCCGGGGAUUGUACACACCGCCCGUCACACCAUGGGAGUUGGUAGCACCCGAAGCCGGUAAGCUAACCGCAAGGAGGCAGCCGUCUAAGGUGAGAUCAAUGACUGGGGUGAAGUCGUAACAAGGUAACC
rnacentral:rRNA from 1 species